AUCCAGCCUAUCACGGUCUGCCCCUUGUUCACCGCUGCUCCCCUGAGGCCCGCUCUGCGUGCUGCUCACAGGCCGCUGUCACCGAGCCUUAGGAGGCCCUUAAAGCUGCGUAAACAAAAAUUGCUCAUGGGUUCCUAAAGAGAUUGGCUGUGGCAAUACACUUGCAUUUCAGAAUUCUUCCUGAAAAUGCUUGUUUGUGUCAUUAAGAGCUUUCUACAUGAUUUCUUUGAUGAAUUAUCAGUUACCCGAGUAUAAAAAUGAAGUACAACUGGCAGUUCUGUGGUUCUUGGAUCAGCAUGUGAGAGCCCAGCCUCAGCACAGCUCAAAGGUGAGAAUCUGCAUGGUCAGACGAUGGGGAGUUGCUCUUAAAGGCUUCCAGUGAAUUAAAGGUGCAUGCCCAGAUGUCCGAAGUCUUGGGAAUAAAAGGUGACAACCAUGUUCUGGAAACAUUUAUGACCAAAAAUAUCACAGCAUUUAAGAGUUGAUGGAUCAUCUCCAAACAGAAUUCUUCUCUUCAGAGAAGCCAGUAAAGUGAUCUGUCCGUUGGUGAUGUCAGUCCUAAUGAACACCAUCAUCUUUGGAGACUGAAGAAACCAAUGGUCUGUGUCAAGACUGCUGCUUGGAUUCACACUUCUUAAUGAGAAAGUGAAUGUGUAGGAAAUUCCACCAGAUUACAUGCCAAAACAGUAAAAAUAAUUACUUCACAUAAA